GACGAACGCUGGCGGCGUGCUUAACACAUGCAAGUCGAACGGAAAGGCCCUGCUUUUGUGGGGUGCUCGAGUGGCGAACGGGUGAGUAACACGUGAGUAACCUGCCCUUGACUUUGGGAUAACUUCAGGAAACUGGGGCUAAUACCGGAUAGGAGCUCCUGCUGCAUGGUGGGGGUUGGAAAGUUUCGGCGGUUGGGGAUGGACUCGCGGCUUAUCAGCUUGUUGGUGGGGUAGUGGCUUACCAAGGCUUUGACGGGUAGCCGGCCUGAGAGGGUGGCCGGCCACAUUGGGACUGAGAGACGGCCCAGACUCCUACGGGAGGCAGCGGUGGGGAAUAUUGCACAAUGGGCGGAAGCCUGAUGCAGCAACGCCGCGUGCGGGAUGACGGCCUUCGGGUUGUAAACCGCUUUCGCCUGUGACGAAGCGUGAGUGACGGUAAUGGGUAAAGAAGCACCGGCUAACUACGUG
rnacentral:rRNA from 1 species